GCAGCAUGGCGCGUGGUUCAAAAGGAAAAAUUUACGCUGACGGACUUUCGAGUGGUUUCUUGGCUAUUUGAGUAUUCUUCGAGCGGAAUUUGGCAGAUGACUGAUUACAAGUCCAGGUUGAAGCCAUUCUUCAUCACUCAGGUCAUGGACCUGACAUCAAGUGGACAUCAAGACUUUCCCACCAUGUAUCCAUGAAAUAUUGGUUGGUGAGACACACUUCCUUCAUAGAUGUCUACAGAAGGGCUACUUUCUCCACUUUGAACAAGAGUUCUUAGACUUCCCAACAAGGUUGGUGAGAGACAACAUCUUCUUUAAUGCCUGCCUAAGAGAUGGCCUGUCAACUUUGAACAUGAGUUCUUGGGCUUCAAUAAAGAACUCCAAGAGUGCCUAGCACAGCCAAAGCAGUCUACCCUCAUUAUGCUACCAUCAACGGAGGUCCAGGAACCAGAAGAGAUUGUGAAGGAUGAGACAAGAUGGACCUUUCGGCAUCUGAGAUACUGAUUGUCAGAAUGAAAGAUUUCCAAAUUGAUACGAAUAAAGUUAAAUGAAAUUGACUUAUAUGGGCUCUUUGAAAUCUUUUAAUUACAGUUUUUGAUGAGUUCUUGCACUUGAUGAUCAACUUAUUUGACAGAGUAAAAUGUGAAUGCAAAACCU